rnacentral:rRNA from 1 species
GACGAACGCUGGCGGCGUGCUUAACACAUGCAAGUCGAACGGAAAGGCCCUGCUUUUGUGGGGUGCUCGAGUGGCGAACGGGUGAGUAACACGUGAGUAACCUGCCCUUGACUUUGGGAUAACUUCAGGAAACUGGGGCUAAUACCGGAUAGGAGCUCCUGCUGCAUGGUGGGGGUUGGAAAGUUUCGGCGGUUGGGGAUGGACUCGCGGCUUAUCAGCUUGUUGGUGGGGUAGUGGCUUACCAAGGCUUUGACGGGUAGCCGGCCUGAGAGGGUGACCGGCCACACUGGGACUGAGAUAAGGCCCAGACUCCUACGGGAGGCAGCAGUGGGGAAUAUUGCACAAUGGGCGGAAGCCUGAUGCAGCAACGCCGCGUGCGGGAUGACGGCCUUCGGGUUGUAAACCGCUUUCGCCUGUGACGAAGCGUGAGUGACGGUAAUGGGUAAAGAAGCACCGGCUAACUACGUG